GAGAGAGAUGGACAAUAAAAUCAACUUAAAUAACUACUACUUCUCACGGGUGUGCCCGAGCGGCCCAGAGAGAAAAACACAACACAAUCUGAUUAGGAACUUUCUCAGAAAGCCAUUUUACAAGAUCUGCUCAGUUUUUAGAAGAUUGCUAAGACGAGCUAAGAGCUGUGGAUGAACAAAAAAGUAGUAGGCCCUAACCGUCCACGCGGCGGCCAGCGCGAGCGCGAGCGGACACAAUGUAGAAAUGACAGAUCAAUAAAGCACUCGGGCUGGGUUUAGCUUCGCGGACGGACGGACGGACGGACACACACACACACACACACACACACACACACACACUGUUCCUGUUUACACACAAACGAAUAUAAGCAGUAGGAGGGGGAAAAAGGCCUCGACAGGAGCAGCCUGAGAGAAUAACUGCAUCCUAUAGAACACGAUGAGACCUUCCCUUUCAGAUGAACUGUCCGCCGCGUCGCCGCGAAAAGAAGCAAAAAUGGCACCUUACCUCGACGACAGAUCAAAAAUGCCUCCGGAACAUUGCCCUGGGUGGCGUCAGGCGAUUUUCGCUGGCUGCUAAAUCCCACGGAAAAAAGGCCAGUAUUCAAGGAUCGAGAAGUGAGGAAGUUUCCACAGUGAGGAUGCCCAGAGCUAAGAAGAGAGGAAGGGAAGCAAGGAAAGGAGAUGUUGAGACGCAACUGAAGAAAUGAGAAGCAGGCCAGGAAUAGGACUUGAGAGUUGACAUCAUGCCACACUGCAUUGUGGGAUUGAUCCGCCAUGUUUGUUUAGGAAGAAGAUAUGAGCAACUCGAUUUUUCGUUUUUGUUUUAAAUAACAUGUUUGGAUGGAACUCAAAAGCUUUUUUAAGAAACUUUUAAAGAAUGCCAAAAUGUGCCAUUUUUAGGAGUCUAAUUAAAGAUGUCACUCUCCUCUAAACACUUCCUCCUUUAACCACACUGUUUGUUGACAUUUUUUCAAGUAUUUUAAUAAGUUUUUUUAAAUAGAUGGACAGAUGAACUUAUAAACAUGGCAUCACAGUCAGUUAAACAAAGUGAAAUGUAUCCAUUGACUGUAAAUGUAGCUUUCACUGUGUUUUACUUGUUAUUGCUGAAGCCUGAGCAAUUUGGUGUCUGUCACAUUGCCCCCCCCACCAAGAAAACUGUAAAAUUAUAUAAUUAUAUUUACUAUAGUUCCUUUUUUUCUUUUACCACAGUUACCAUAAUGAUCCUCAAUGUGAAAUGUAGCUAUAACAUUAGGAGAAAGAUCUUACUUAUUAGGUGCAGCAAGCACGUGUGCUUAGUGGUUAGCACUGUUGCCUCACAGCAAGAAGGUCCUGGGUUCGAAUCCCGGGUACGAACAGGCAGAGGCGUUUGCAUGUUCUCCCUGUGCCUGUGUGGGUUUACUCUGAGUACUCCGGUUUCCUUCCACAGUCCAAAAACAUGUACAUUAGGUUGAUAGGUAAUUCUAAAUUGCCCAUAGGUGUGAGUGUGUGUGGUUGUCUGUCUAUAUGUGGCCCUGUGAUGGACUGGUGACCUGUCCAGGGUGUACCCCUGCCUUUUGCCCAAUGUGUGCUAGGAUAGGCUCCAGCAGACCCCUGUGACCCUAAUUAGGAAUAAAGCGGGUAUAGACAAUGGAUGGAUCUUACUUAUUACCUGUACCACAACACAUGUAAGUCCACCUCUCUCUCUCAGUCACAAACUAUUACUGCCCCCCACACACAUUCACACCUGGAGGAAACUGGAGAACCCAGAGGAACCCCAUAGUGAUACUCCACAUAGACAGUAAGUAGAGCUCAGGGCUGAAGCCCAAAUCUGUGAUGUCUGAGGUACUGACACAAGAAUUUUCUUGAUGAGGUGAAAAAGUUCCUUCCACCAAUUUAAAUAAGGGUCAUGCAUUUCUAAAUAAGAAACUUAAAUGGAAAUAGCAGAUAUUUUGUCCUAUGUUUAGCUGGUGCACUGAAGGGAAAAAUGCAAGAAACGGUAAAACAGAAACAGAUUUUGUUUCGACAUGACACUCGUGUGUGCAUGUUGAACAUCUCAUUUAAGAUUUCAUCCUGCUUUGCUGUUAUUAUGUCCGCUCUUCUGGGAAGGCUUUCCACUAGAUUUUGGAUUUUGGCUAGUCACUGGGUGCAGGUGGCUCACUUUCUUCCACAGCAACUUUGGCAAACUGUGUCUUUGUGGACCUUGUUCACUUUGUUCCAUCCAUCCAUCCAUCCAUCCAUUUUCUUUACCACUUAUCCUACACAGGGUCACGGGGAGCCUGGAACCUAUCCAGGAGGACUCACAGGGCACAAUCACACACUAUGAGCAAUUUUAUAUAUAUAUAUAAAAUACUAAUCAUCCUAAAAAACAUCAUUUGACGGGGGAAGGAAACUAGAUUACCCAAAGGAAACCAUGCUAACCACUAAGCCAUUGCAUAUCCCAUAGGCAUCCUGUACAUCCCAUCCUAUACUGUUGUGUGCUUCCAGCUUUGUGCCAAAAUGUCCUAACGUCCUUAAGUGCCUGAGCAAUGUUUUGAGCAAGUUCUCUCUGUGUCCACAUGAUUUUCCAGGUCCUCUGGUUUUCUCUCACUUCACAUCCAGGAUAUAUUCCUGCCUUGUGCUCAGUUUUCCAGGAAGAGGCCUCAAAUCCACUAAACCCAGAUGAUAAAGCAGUUAUUGAUGAAGAAUGAAAGGAUGAAUAAAUAAAUGAAUUUAUACUCAUUUAGAAAAACUUGAAUACAAAAGUUUAUUCACAAUACCUGAAUUCACCCCUUUCUGAGGAAAAAAAAAUCAUGACCAGCCAGAUUCUUAUAAUAAUUUAUAUAAUAAUUCAUUUACAUUUAAAUGUUGUGUCUUACAAAGAAAUGUACUGUCAUCAUAAACAAGGAAAAGCUGAAAUAACCAAAUCUGGUCAGGUUUAUUUAAUAGAAUAAACUUUAAGACAUGUCUAUCUGGAAAAAAACAAGUGCUGGAAAAUCACCAACCUAUGCUGGGGUGUUUAUUAAUCCUACUACUGCAAAUAAUGGACGUGUGUUCCUGGGAAGAAUGUUUGUACGUUGCCUACGUACUCUCAGAGACAUGAGAACAGAGAACACUUCUCUAAGGGUUUAAGAGGUGUUGCAAAUCUGCUUUUAGUGGCUUCUGGUUAAAUUAAAACUGACUGCAGGAGGUCAAACAUCAGAAUGAAGAAAAAGGGUGACCUCUGUGACUUUAACCGUGGCAUGGUCGUCGGUAUCAGAUUUGAGUAUUUCAGAAACUGACGAUCUCCAGGGAUUUUCACGCAAAACAGUCUCUAAGGUUUACGCCGAAUGGUGCGAACAACUAAAAAACAUUGAGUGAGACAUUAGUUGACAAGGUUUUUCCAACCACAGAGCUAAUGUGACUUAGUGACAGUUCUAAGGGUGGAAACACCUUGUUGAGAAAAGAGAUCAGAGGAAAAUAGUCAGAUUGGUUCGAACUACUACAAAGGAUACAGGAUGUCUUUUAGCUUAAAUUCAUAGUUGUCUAAAACUGUAAAUACAGUGCAAAUAUAGCGCAAAUACAUCAAGUGAAUUUUAUUAACAUCUGAGAUUUUUUUGGCAAAGGAUUAUGGUUAGAGUCCCAUCUAUGAGAACCGUGUUUGACUGUCGUUUGUGUGCCACUGUUUCAGCGUUAGUGUCUGCACUGCUGUUUGUUAGACUGAUGUACAGUAUGUAGUGUAAUGAAUUUUAAAGUUCUAAGGUUUUGCAUUUAUUUCGAUUUUAUUUCAAACACAGAGCAAAUUAUAAUGUUAUGUUGUUAAACAGAGAGUAGAUUUUAUUAAACAGUUAAAAUGAUAAAUGGACAAAGACCAACGAGUUUGAGGUGUUGACCUGGCCUCCAGCAAAUUAUAAGACAGACAGACAGACAGACAGACAGACAGACAGACAGACAGAUAGAUAGAUAGAUAGAUAGAUAGAUACUUUAUUCAUCCCAAUGGGAAAUUUACGACUUCCCGCAGUGUUCACAAGCAAUAAGAUGAUAAAUAAAAAUAAUAAAAUAGAGAUAUAACAAUACUAUACUGGAAUUUAAGGGUACAAAAUAUAAGAAAAAAAAUAACAAAUAAGAUAUAAUGAAAUAAAAUAUAACAAAAAAUACUAAAUACAAGAAAUUUAAAGGUAUAAGAGAUAAGUAAUGUUAUAUAAUAAUAAUAAAAUAACUAAUGUAUUAUAAUGUUAUGUUGUUAAACAGAGAUUAGAUUAAAAAAAAUUAUUAAACAGUUAAAAUGAUAAAUGGACAAAGACCAACAACUUUUGAAAAAUGGUUUUAAAUAAAGAGAAGAAGAGAGGGAGAUGAAAGAGCCGAUUGAUAUUGGUGAACUGACCUGAUUGCUUUGACACCCUUAAAAGAGCUGGAAUUCAAUUCACUAUCAUGAAUAUGCAUGCAUAUGCAAAUUGAAAACGUUCCCAUGUCAUCCCACCAUCUGAAUUCAGUCUCCUCCCCCAGAACCAUGAUUACACUAUGCUUUUAUCUGUGACUAACCAUGACUCUCACCAUCCAAGGUUUUUCAGUGGUACUGAACACAAGCCGGUUUGUUGUAAUCUAAGAUAGACAGGGACCUCAAGAAAUUUAUUCACCAUUAGGAAUUUUAUAGGAACCAAAAGUUUAAUCAGAGAGUUACAUGCAAUUACUGUACAACUGCUGUACAUGUUGGAUCGCAAGGACUGUGUGGAGAUAAAGGUUAACCAUGUCACCAUGUUUGGUGUCCUCUGACCACCGGACCGUGGAUCAUUUGUUACCCCACUGCACAGA